rnacentral:snoRNA from 1 species
UUUCUCUUUUACUAGAAGUGUAUUUACACAGAAGGGCAAAGGAAAUUUCCAUAAAACCCAGAGAAUAGCUUGUAAAACUCCUCCCUGGAUCCUGCCUAGAGUCACAGCU